rnacentral:lncRNA from 1 species
AACAAAGCUUAGCAGGAGAGGAGAGCCAGAGAAGUGACAGGGAAGCUACAGGUUACAACAGAUUUGUGAACUCAGCCAAGCACAGUGGUGGCAGGGCCUAGCUGCUACAAAGAAGACAUGUUUUAGACAAAUACUCAUGUGUAUGGGCAAAAAACUCGAGGACUGUAUUUGUGACUAAUUGUAUAACAGGUUAUUUUAGUUUCUGUUCUGUGGAAAGUGUAAAGCAUUCCAACAAAGGGUUUUAAUGUAGAUUUUUUUUUUUGCACCCAUGCUGUUGAUUGCUAAAUGUAAUAGUCUGAUCGUGACGCUGAAUAAAUGUCUUUUUUUUUAAUGUGCUGUGUAAAGUUAGUCUACUCUGAAGCCAUCUUGGUAAAUUUCCCCAACAGUGUGAAGUUAGAAUUCCUUCAGGGUGAUGCCAGGUUCUAUUUGGAAUUUAUAUACAACCUGCUUGGGUGGAGAAGCUAUUGUCUUCGGAAACCUUGGUGUAGUUGAA